CCACUAUGUUUCUGAGUCCUUUAGAAACUAUGUGAGAAUCCACGGUUUCGUUGCUGUUCCUCUAACACACUUCUAAAUCACAGUUCUGGUUCUGAAGCCUUUCUUUCCCGAGGCUGUCUGUGGCAGACAUCGCUAAUCAAUUAUGGCGGUCGUUUCCAAAGAGCCCAAUGCGUCUGGAUGCUCUUCCAGCUGGUACUCCAGAUUAUGUAAUCUCUUACAUCUGUGUGCCAUAGGAUAUGGUUGUCAGUAGCCUCUCUACUUCUCUGUUGGGCAUAUGAAGACUUCAGCAUGACUUGCUCAGGAUGAACCCGGGGAGGCGUUCUGAACAAGCCGCCACAUAGGCUCCAAGGUGCCUGCUUCUGAACACUGACGGAUGGCUGAGAGCUGGCUGAGGGUAAUGAUGUUGGUCAGCUGGAGGGCUUUCAUCAGGCCCAUAAUCUGUCACUCCCUUGAUGCCUGUCUUCCUCUGGAAAGUGACAGAUGAUACAUGGAGCCAUGGUGGUAAUGUAAACCUUGGUGUGUUCUAGAAUCCCAUGCCUACUGUUCUUAUGACAAGCACUUCUUUUAUGUACAAUUUAUUUCUCUCUGUAAAGCUCUGUCUAGACAUAGCCUUAGUUUCCAGGGAUAUUCCUUAUCUUUAAUGUACUCUUUCAGGUUUGAGAAAUGAGGCAAAGAGAGGCAACAGGUCUUUCUGAAUUAGGAUCUCUUUGGAAUUCUGUGGUCCACUCUGAAUGUAUACCCCUUUUGCAGGGAUGGGAGGACCAUACCCCACCCUGCCUGUGUGAGAUUAUUUCAUUACACGAGUUGUUCUUGAAAAUGAAAUUUCUCUCCCCUCUCCCCAACUAAAGGGAUUGUGUUCUACCCACGUGUAAACUAGAUUCUAUUUCUAAGUAUAUAAAAUGAUAUCUUCCCGUAGACCUCUACUCUCGUUGUCCCUCUUAUCUGGCUUUUUUUCCCUUUUCAUCAGAAUAUUUAUUAACUUCUGACUUAUUGCAUAUGGAGCAAUGACUUUAUCCAUUUCACUACAGUAAUCUUGGAACCUUGUACCUCCUUAUGCAUACUUGGUCAAGUAUGAAUAAAUGAUUGAUAGCAAA